rnacentral:rRNA from 1 species
UGGGGAAUAUUGCACAAUGGGGGAAACCCUGAUGCAGCGACGCCGCGUGAACGAAGAAGGUAUUCGUAUCGUAAAGUUCUGUCCUAUGGGAAGAUAAUGACAGUACCAUAGAAGAAAGCUCCGGCUAAAUACGUGCCAGCAGCCGCGGUAAUACGUAUGGAGCGAGCGUUGUCCGGAAUUAUUGGGCGUAAAGGGUACGCAGGCGGUUUAAUAAGUCGAAUGUUAAAGAUCGGGGCUCAACCCCGUAAAGCAUUGGAAACUGAUAAACUUGAGUAGUGGAGAGGAAAGUGGAAUUCCUAGUGUAGUGGUGAAAUACGUAGAUAUUAGGAGGAAUACCAGUAGCGAAGGCGACUUUCUGGACACAAACUGACGCUGAGGUACGAAAGCGUGGGGAGCAAACAGGAUUAGAUACCCUCGUAGUCCCUGAGCGGGCUGGCAAGGCGCAU